CCUACGGGAGGCAGCAGUGGGGGAUAUUGCACAAUGGGGGGAACCCUGAUGCAGCGACGCCGCGUGGGUGAAGGAGUGCUUCGGCAUGUAAAGCCCUAUCGGCAGGGAAGAAGCAAGACGGUACCUGACUAAGAAGCCCCGGCUAACUACGUGCCAGCAGCCGCGGUAAUACGUAGGGGGCGAGCGUUAUCCGGAUUCACUGGGUGUAAAGGGAGCGUAGACGGCCAUGCAAGCCAGGGGUGAAAGCCCGGGGCCCAACACCGGGACUGCCCUUGGAACUGCAUGGCGGGAGUGCGGGAGGGGCAGGCGGAAGUGCAGGUGUAGCGGUGAAAGGCGUAGAUAGCAGGAGGAAAACCAGAGGCGAAGGCGGCUUACUGGACUGUAACUGACGUUGAGGCUCGAAAGCGUGGGGAGCAAACAGGAGUAGAUACCCGAGUAGUC
rnacentral:rRNA from 1 species